UUCGCAAUGCCCGAAAGGGUGACGAAGCGACGCCGCGUGUGGGAAGAAGGCCUUCGGGUUGUAAACCACUGUCGGGAGUUAAGAAAUGCAAGGAUAUUAAUAGUGUCUUUGUUUGACUAAGGCUCCGGAGGAAGCCACGGCUAACUCUGUGCCAGCAGCCGCGGUAAUACAGAGGCGGCAAGCGUUGUUCGGAAUUAUUGGGCGUAAAGAGUACGUAGGCGGCUGUGUAAGUCGGUUGUGAAAGCCUUCCGCUUAACGGAAGAACGGCAUCCGAUACUGCAUAGCUUGAGUGCGGGAGGGGAGAGUGGAACUUCUGGUGGAGCGGUGAAAUGCGUAGAUAUCAGAAGGAACACCGGCGGCGAAGGCGACUCUCUGGUCCGUAACUGACGCUGAGUGUGCGAAAGCUAGGGGAGCAAACGGGAUUAGAUACCCCGGUAGUCCUAGCCGUAAACGAUGGGCACUAAGUAGAGGGGUUUU
rnacentral:rRNA from 1 species